GAACGCUAGCUACAGGCUUAACACAUGCAAGUUGCGGGGCAGCAUGGGGGUUGCUUGCAAUCCCCGAUGGCGACCGGCGCACGGGUGAGUAACGCGUAUCCAACCUGCCCUUCACCACGGGAUAACCCGGCGAAAGUCGGACUAAUACCGUAUGUUGUCCAUUGACGGCAUCCGAUUUGGACGAAAGGCUUUGCGGUGAGGGAUGGGGUUGCGUCCGAUUAGCUGGACGGCGGGGUAACGGCCCACCGUGGCUACGAUCGGUAGGGGUUCUGAGAGGAAGGUCCCCCACACUGGAACUGAGACACGGUCCAGACUCCUACGGGAGGCAGCAGUGAGGAAUAUUGGUCAAUGGGCGCAAGCCUGAACCAGCCAAGUAGCGUGCAGGAUGACGGCCCUAUGGGUUGUAAACUGCUUUUAUGCGGGGAUAAAGUGACCCACGUGUGGGUUUUUGCAGGUACCGCAUGAAUAAGGACCGGCUAAUUCCGUGCCAGCAGCCGCGGUAAUACGGAAGGUCCGGGCGUUAUCCGGAUUUAUUGGGUUUCAAGGGAGCGUAGGCCGCGCCUUAAGCGUGUUGUGAAAUCCGGUUGCUCAACAUCCGGCUUGCAGCGCGAACUGGGGCGCUUGAGUGCGCUGAAAGUAGGCGGAAUUCGUGGUGUAGCGGUGAAAUGCUUAGAUAUCAUGAGGAACUCCGAUCGCGAAGGCAGCCUGCGGGAGUGUUACUGACGCUUAAGCUCGAAGGUGCGGGUAUCGAACAGGAUUAGAUACCCUGGUAGUCCGCACGGUAAACGAUGGAUGCCCGCCGUUGGCGCCCUGCGCCUGCGGCCAAGCGAAAGCAUUAAGCAUCCCACCUGGGAGUACGCCGGCAACGGU
rnacentral:rRNA from 1 species